rnacentral:tmRNA from 1 species
GGGGCUGCAAUGGUUUCGACGGGACAUAAGGAGGGUGACUGAAGCCUGCUCGGUUAGAGCAAAUCUCGUAACUGCGAACAACAUCGUACGUUUCUCCCGUCAAGCAGCCCCUGUUGCUGCCUGACCCUUUUAAGGGAGAUGGGGUGAAGUCAGCCUUAUCACCCAAAUGACUGCUUGGGGGUGGAAGCCCCCCUUCAAC